rnacentral:tRNA from 1 species
AGAAACUUAGGAUUAAAUUAAACCAGUGACCUUCAACGUCACAAACAAGGGAUUAACCCUUAGUUUCUG